rnacentral:ncRNA from 1 species
UAAUUUUUUUUUUACAUGUAAAAUUUUUUGAGAGUAAGAGUAUAAUUUAAAUAGUUAUAUUUAAAAAAUUUAUUCGCAGUAUAAGAUUUUAAUAAUUUAUGAAAUUAAGAAUUAUAAAUAAAUUUUAGUAUCGACAAAUUUUGUGCCAGCAGUUGCGGUUAUACAAAGGAUACAAAUAAAUUAUAUUAGUAAAUAAUUAUAUGAUUUUAUAAUAAAAUAAAUUUAUAUUUAUUAAGUGAAAUUUUAAAUAUAAAAAUAAUUUUUAAUAAAAAAUUUAUUAUUAUGAAAUUUAUUUUUAAACUAGGAUUAGAUACCCUAUUAUUUUAAAUGUAAAUAUAUUAUACUAAAGUAAUAAUAGUUAUGUUCUUUAAAUUUAAAGAUUUUGGCGGUAUUUUAGUCUAUUCAGAGGAACCUGUUCUAUAAUUGAUAGUCCACGAAUAACUUUACUUUAUUUAAAAAUUUGUAUAUCGUCGUUUUUAAGAAUUUUAUAAGAAUUAAAAUUUUUAAGAUUUUUUAUUAAAAAAUAUAUCAGAUCAAGGUGCAGUUUAUAAUAAAGAAGAAAUGGGUUACAAUAAAUUUAUUUAAAUGAAUAAGUAAAUGAAAAUUUUGUUUUGAAGGUGGAUUUGAUAGUAAUAAUAUUUAAUUUGAUUUUAUGAUUUUAGCUCUAAAAUAUGUACAUAUCGCCCGUCGCUCUUAUUCUAAAAUAAGAUAAGUCGUAACAUAGUAGAUGUACUGGAAAGUGUAUCUAGAAUGAC